AAUCUUCAGGGCGGGGUGUGAGUCCCCACCGGCGGUAAAGCCCGCGAGCCUUUUUGGCUGAUUUGGUGAAAUUCCAAAGCCGACGGUUAGAGUCCGGAUGAAAGAAGAA
rnacentral:ncRNA from 1 species